UAGAUCGUUCUUAUUACAUGGAUAACUGUGGUAAUUCUAGAGCUAAUACAUGCAAAAAGCUCCGACCGUAUGGGAAGAGCGCUUUUAUUAGACCAAAACCAAUGGGGUCGAAAGAUCUCUUUGUAUGGUGACUCUGGAUAACUUUGUGCUGAUCGCAUGGCCUCGAGCCGGCGACGUAUCUUUCAAGUGUCUGCCCUAUCAACUUUCGAUGGUAAGCGAUUUGCCUACCAUGGUUGUAACGGGUAACGGGGAAUCAGGGUUCGAUUCCGGAGAGGGAGCAUGAGAAAUGGCUACCACAUCUACGGAAGGCAGCAGGCGCGCAAAUUACCCACUCCUAGAUCGGGGAGGUAGUGACGAAAAAUAACAAUACCGGACUCUAAGAGGCUCGGUAAUUGAAAUGAGUACAGUUUAAAACCCUUAACGAGGAUCUAUUGGAGGGCAAGUCUGGUGCCAGCAGCCGCGGUAAUUCCAGCUCCAAUAGCGUAUAUUAAAGUUGUUGCAGUUAAAAAGCUCGUAGUUGGAUCUCGGGCACUAGCGUAUGGAACGCUUCACUGCUGUUUCUAUAUGACUGGUCCUAAUUAAUCGGUUCGCCGUUUAUGCUC
rnacentral:rRNA from 1 species